GGUACGUGUUUGGUUUGCAUAUUUUGUUUUGAGUUUGAUAGGCCCAGUAUUGGUUGCCUUUUGUUGUUUGGUUUGUGUGCUGUGUUGGAGAGAGUAUAAUGGUUAGUUUCCAGGCCCUGCCUAGCCUGAACUCUUGUUCUACUUUCUGUUGGGACGUCAGUCUGAGGUGAGUAAUCGGCUGUGUACCUCGGUGGGAGAUUUGGGUAGGGUAGUGGAACUUGCUACCCGGAGCUAUAGCCUUUUUCCCCCUGAUAGGUUUAGCGAUGUGUUUCAUUUUUUGGAAUAUGUUGGGCAUGGUUAAUGUUUUUUAUUUUUGUGUGUUGUCUGUGGACUGAGCAGUUGUCUCGGGGGCACAUCCUUGGCUUGGUGGAAUUUGCCAGCAUGCUGGGGAGUUUUUCCUUGCCAGCGGGCUACAGUGCGUAAAUUCCCACCGCAAAUCUGCAUGAAGACUAGUGUUGAGUUAUUGUAGGUUUUGGGGAAGCUCCAUAUCUCAUCUCUCUUCUGUGGUGCUCAGGGUGAUUGUCAAUUCUCGGGUUGUGGUCUGGUGUGCUCAGCAGAAGGGAAGAGCGAGAAUUUUUUUGUGAUUAUGGCGUCUUAUGUAGAUAAGUUCAUUCACUCUCCAUCAGAGGAAUUGUUAGAUUUAGGUACUAAAGAACAGCUGUUGAAGGUCGCGGAACACUACAAGGUUGAGAUUAGUGAUAAACGUCUAAAGAAUUCUAUUAGGUUGAUAUUGAAGGCCAAUCUGAUGGAGGGUGGUAUUCUUGAAGUUACCACUGGUCCAGCCUCUGCUGAGGAUUUGUCGUCUCCCCAUAACGUUACAAUGGCCAUUCCAUCGGUUAGUCCUAGUAGCCUUCUUUUUGAACAGCAGAAAGAACUGCUUUUGUUACAGCUGGAGCAUGAUCGUGAGAAGAGGGAGCAUGCUCGGCAGCAUGAUCGUGAGAAGCUAGAGCAUGAUCGUGAGAAGCUAGAGCAUGAUCGUGUAAAAUAUGAAAAGGAAUUGGCAUUUAAACAAGAUAUGGAGCGUGCUAAAAUCAAGUUGCAACAAGAACGUAUAGAGUUGGUUAGGGAAGGAAAUAUCUCAGGGGAGAGUUUGUUUUGGGAAGGUGACCCAGAUUUACCUAGGGGUAGUUCUGCUUUUGGUCGUGCCCCAGAGACAUUUGAUAUUGUUGGGAACUUACGGUUAUUGCCUUAGUUUAAUGAAAAGGACCCCGAGACAUUAUUUUUGUUGUUUGAGCGGGUUGCUGACGCUAGGAGUUGGCCUGAUUCUGACCGCACUUUAAUGUUGCAGUGUGUGCUGACUGGUAAAGCGCAGGAAGCAUAUUCAGCUCUUAGUGUACACGACAGUGCCAGUUAUGAUAAAGUUAAAACAGCUGUGUUACAGAUUUAUGAACUGGUCCCUGAGGCUUACCGCCAACGAUUUAGAACUUUAAAAAGGGAUGAUAAGCAGACUCAUGUUGAGUUUGCGCGACAGUUAGCUUUACAGUUUAAUCGCUGGUGUUCCGCCUCUGCAGUUGUGACUUUCCAAGGGCUGUGUGAUCUGAUUAUGUUAGAGCAAUCUAAGGACACAAUUUCUGAUCGUAUUGCCACGUAUAUUAACGAACUGAAAGUAAAGAAUGUUGCUGAAGCUGCGGUUUUGGAGGACGAGUAUGUGUUGACUCACAAAAGUGUCUUUGCAGAGCCCCGUAUUCGGAAAGAGUGGGGGCGUUCGGAUAGAUUUGGGCUUCGCUCACCGAGAUACUUUGGUUCACGGGCAGAGUUCUAUUCAACUAGGGUUGAGCCUGACUCUCAUGGUAAAGCUGACUUUGGGCAGGAGUGUCACUACUGUCAAGGUUCAGGUCAUUGGAAAAAUGAAUGUCCACUUCUCAGGUCAAAGGGUGCUUAUGCUAAAUCUAAGCCUACUGCGUUAGCUGCACCUGUUCCACAUCAGUUCACUCAUGACUCAUUUCCUCAGGCCCAGGAGAAUGUGAAAGUCCAUAUUGAUCCAGACUAUUUACCUUUCAUUAUGGAAGGUUUUGUGUCUAUGUUAGGAAGUAAAGACCUAGUGCCAGUGAAGAUCCUGAGAGACACAGGUGCCUCUGAAUCAUUUGUGUUGGAGUCUGUGUUACCCUUUUCUGCUGAGACUGAUUCGGGGAAUAGUGUUCUAAUUAGGGGAAUAGGUUUGAACACUCUGUCAGUUCCAUUCCAUAAACUGAUGUUGGAUUGUGGGCUGGUGAAGGGUGAAGUUGUUGUGGGGGUGCGUCCUUCGUUGCCUAUUGAGGGUAUCGACGUUAUCCUUGGGAAUAACUUGGCUGGUGAGCGUGUAUGGCCUGUCGUGUUUCCAUCUCUAGUGGUUUCCACUAAGCCGUCAUUUGUUGGGAUUCCUGGAGAGUGUACAGAGUUUCCCAGAGGUGUUCUCUGCAUGUGCAGUGACACGUUCUAUGAGCCGUGGCGACUAAUGAUAAUAAUACAAAGUAUGUCACUGUUUUCCCUGUUAUCCCGUUAUCUGUAACCCGGUCAGAUCUAAUCAAUGCACAACGGGAUGACCCCACAUUGGAAGAGUUGCGUGAUCAAAUUGUGCCUGUAGAACAGUUGGGAGAUGUCGCCCAUGGCUAUUUUCUCCAAGAGGAUGUCCUGAUGAGAAAGUGGGUGUCUCAUGAUAGUAGUUUUCUGGGGGAGGCAAUUAGUCAGGUUGUUGUACCAGUUAAGCUUCGUGAGUUGGUGUUGGAAACUUCUCACAGCGACGUUGCUGGACAUAUGGGGGUGAGGAAAACCUACAAUCUCAUAUUAAGCCAUUUAUUUUGGCCUAGAUUAAAGAGGGAUGUUUCUGAUUUUAUCAAAACUUGCCACACCUGUCAAUUAACUGGUAAGCCUAAUCAAGCUAUUAAACCAGUACCAUUGUUUCCUAUUCCUGUACUCAGCCAACCUUUUGAGUAUCUGAUUAUUGACUGUGUGGGUCCUCUGCCUCGUUCUAAAAAGGGUAGCAGUUACCUGUUCACUGUGAUGUGUCAGACCACUAGGUUUCCAGCUGCCUAUCCUCUCUGAUCUAUCACGACUAAAUCGGUGUUAAAAGCUUUGACUCAGUUUCUCUCAUUGUUUGGAAUCCCUAAGGUCAUUCAGAGUGAUUCUACACCGUGCUUCUACACCUGCAUUGCUUGCUGUUUGGGGUUUUAGGCUGGGUUUCUGUACAGCACUUUGAGAUAUCAGCUGAUGUACGAAGGGCUAUAUAAAUACAUUUGAUUUGAUCAAGGAUCAAAUUUUACCUCAUCUGUUUAGUCAGGUUCUUCAACAGCUCCAUAUUAAACACAAUUUGUCUAGCGCCUAUCACGCGCAAAGUCAAGGAGCACUGGAACGUUUCCAUCAAACACUUAAGUCUUUGAGAGCUUAUUGUACUGAGAUGGAUAAGGAUUGGGAGGAGGGGUUGCCUUGGUUACUGUUAGCCGCUAGGGAAGUUUCACAGGAGAGCACAGGUUUCAGUCCAAAUUACCUUGUGUUUGGACAUGGGGUGCGUGGACUUUUAUCUGUUCUCCAGGAUGACUGGAAGUCUCCCGAGCCUCCUCAGUCCCUAUUAUUGUAUGUGUGUGAUUUCCGGCGACGACUGUACGCCGCUGGUGAAAUGGCUAAAGAGAAGUUAUCUUCACAGGAGAGGAUGAAGGGCAUAUUUGAUUGCCGAGGUGACCAGGUUCUUGCUCUGCUGCCAAUUGUUGGUUCUCCUUUUCAAGCCAAGUUUCAAGGUCCAUAUACAGUGGUGCGCCAGUACACUGAGCAAAAUUAUCUAGUUGCCACUCCAGAACAGAGGAAAGCACACCAGCUAUGCCAUGUAAAUCUGUUAAAACCCUAUUAUGCACGUUCCUCUGAGACUGAACAGUGGGAUUCUACAGAGGACGGUAAAACCUGUUCUUAUGGCUGAUACCGUUGUUUCCUUGGGUUCUUGUUGUGCUAGAUCUGUGCAUGAGGAUGUUCCUGGUCCUGACGAUUGUAUAUUGCAGGGUAGAUUGUCUAAAAUAUCCAGUGUUUCUGAAUUUUUCAGUCUUCUCACUCACCUACCUGUUGAUGGGCGGAAAGAGAUGGUUGGUCUUAUUCAGAGAUUUCCAGGUUUGUUUUCUGAUACACCUACACGUACAAACUUAAUAGAGCAAAUUUGACCUGUUAAAAGGCUAUUGGCAGGUGCCACUGACGAGUAGGGCAGGUGCCACUGACGAGUAGGGCACGUGAAAUCUCUGCCUUUAUUACACCCUUUGGUCUGUACUCUAAUUCGGUUAUGAGUUUCGGUCUGCGUAAUGCACCUGCCACUUUUCAGCAAGUUAUGAACAGGGUUGUCGCCGGUCUGCCCGGGUGCGCUGUUUAUUUGGACGAUGUAGUAAUAUAUGCAGAUACUUGGGAAGAACAUCUGUCCCGUAUUCAAGCCUUGUUCGAACGUCUGGCUGCGGGUCGCCUCACAAUCAAUCUGGCUAAAUGUGAGUUUGCUCAGGCGACCGUUACAUACCUUGGAAAAGUGGUUGGGCAGGGUGAAGUGCGUCCUGUUCAGGCUAAAGUGGUGGCUAUUGAUGCUUUUCUACCACCAACUACUAAAAAGGAACUGAUGCGUUUCUUGGGCAUGAUUGGCUAUUACCGUAGUUUUUGUAAUAACUUCUCUACUGUGGUCGCUCCCUUGACAGAUAUGCUGAAAGCUAAGGCUGUUUACGUUUGGUCUACUCGUUGUCAACAUGCUUUUGAAGAUGCAAAGAGGUUGCUUACCUCAACUCCGGUGCUGGCUGCUCCUCUCAUGGAUUUGUCAUUUACCUUGCAGGUGGAUGCUAGUCAUGUGGGGGCAGGUGCAGUUUUGCUGCAAGCAGAUGUUUCUGGGGUUGCGAGGCCUGUUAGUUUCUUUUCCAAAAAGUUUAACGAUUAUCAGUUGAACUAUUCGGUUAUUGAAAAGAAAGCGCUAGCACUCAUUUGGGCGCUACAACACUUCGAAGUGUAUGUCGGGUCGGGGGUAGUACCUAUUGUGGUCUACACCGACCAUAACCCCCUCACUUUUUUGAGGUCCAUGAUGUGUCCAAACCAGAGGAUAAUGAGAUGGUGUUUAUUUUUACAAUCAUUCCAUCUCGAUGUGCGGCACAUCCGGGGGACUGAAAACGUGAUUGCUGAUGCGCUCUCUCGUGCGCCCUGUUCCUAAAUGUUUACGUGACUGACCAUUGUUUCGUAUUGUCAUGUUCUCUCUGUCCUGUCUGCUCCCUCCUGUCUUGUUUUCUUAUUUCCUCUUAAAUGUUGCUUCCUGUGCGAAGGUCGCUGAGGUCUGUGGAGGAGGUUGGCUGGGGCAAAUUGGAUGAUAGAGGGCUGUCUGAACUGACUCAGCUAUACAGGAAACCUGGGCAGAGACUGGCUAAUCAUGAGAGGAAGGAAGAGAUGGGUAUUGGAAUCCAUAAUGAAGUCUGGUAACCUGACCAUGUUACCUAAAGCCACCACUGACGUACAGUGAACAGGGGACAGCAGUAGCAAACCAAAGCUACAUAAAUUGUCUUAUUGCAAAAUAUUAACAGCUGUGUGGCCCAUUAAAUAUCCUGGCCUGGAUAUAAUAGGAUAGAAUGUGAUGGAUUAUUAUGCUAGCAACAAAAAAGGCUUGUAAUAAGACAAAUCUGAAUUCCUCUAAACAGUGUAUUAAAGUUGACCUAAUAGUGUA